UACGUAGGGUGCAAGCGUUAAUCGGAAUUAGCUGGGCGUAAAGCGUGCGCAGGCGGUGAUGAUAAGACCGGAUGUGAAAUCCCCGGGCUUAACCUGGGAACUGCAUUGGGUGACUGCGAUUGCUGGAGUAUGGCAGAGGGGGUAGAAUUCCACGUGUAGCAGUGAAAUGCGUAGAGAUGUGGAGGAAUACCGAUGCGAAGGCAGCCCCUGGGCCAAUACUAGACGCUGCAUGCA
rnacentral:rRNA from 1 species